AUGGUGGGUGCCAGUGUAGUCGCUUGUUGCUCCUUGUUCAUCAUGGCUUUGAUGGCGGCCGCAGCGGCCCCAGGUUUCGUGCCGGCAUUGUACGUGUUCGGCGACUCGCUAGCGGAUGUAGGGAACAACAACCAUAUGCUAACACUGAUCAAGGCGGACUUCACGCACAACGGCAUGGACUACCCGGGGAGGAAGGCCACCGGCCGCUUCAGCAACGGCAAGAACUCAGCCAACUUCCUCGUGAAGCUCGAUCUCUCAAUCAACGAGUACUCAUGA
rnacentral:rRNA from 1 species